GAAGAUUGGGGGUCAGCCUGAUGAACCAAACUACUCAGUAAUCUCCUCCAUGAAGACUGGAGGUCAGCCUGAUGAACCAAACUACUCAGUAAUCUCCUCCAUGAAGACUGGGGGUCAGCCUGAUGAACCAAACUACUCAGUAAUCUCCUCCAUGAAGACUGGGGGUCAGCCUGAUGAACCAAACUACUCAGUAAUCUCCUCCAUGAAGACUGGGGGUCAGCCUGAUGAACCAAACUACUCAGUAAUCUCCUCCAUAUAGCCUAACUCACACACAUGCACACUCAUUUAAACAAAACAAGUAUUUAUUUUUGGGUGAUUACUGAUCAGUUCAUUUAUACAUGUAUAAUUAGUAUGUUUUGUUAUCUGUUUUAUUUUGGACUUGUGUAUUGUGUACAGUUUUUAUUGUGGUUUUUAUAUAAUUCUUUGGGCUUCUAACCACACCUGCAAACUGUUUUUUAAAUGUUUUUAUCUGUAUUGUUGUCUACCACUUGUUUUGUUGGGUGCGAGUAAAUAAAACUAGACAGACAGACAGAUAGAGGGGGGAGUAGGGUGUCUGUUAGAUCUGGAACUCUGUCCUUAUCUUUAAAAAGACUCAAAUGGUUUCCCCACAAACCAUCACAAUCAUCAUGCAUGUGUUUCAGAGCAUCUCUGCUUUUCAGUGUUGUUGUAUGCAUUCAGCUGUUUCCUUUGGUGAUGAGUGGUGACCUCAGGAAUAAAGAUUGUCCUCUGUCUGUCUCUCUCUCUCUCUCUCUCUCUCUGUAUGUGUGUCUUUCUCUGUGUCUCUCUUUCCCUCUCUCUCUCUCAGGUCUGGAGCUGAACGGGAUGGGGGUUGAUAAAGGGGAGACUCCUCCUCCCCUGCCCGUGAAGGGCAUCUCUGCUGAUUAUGGGAACCUGCUAGGAGAUAAUCAAGACUUGACGAGUCCCUCCACCCCUCCCCUGACACACCAUCAAAGGCAUCUGCCACCACCUCUUCCCAGCAAGACCCCUCCUCCCCCUCCUCCUAAGACCACCAGGAAACAAGCCUCCAUCGAUUCAGGAAUUGUACAAUGAACAAUGACAUUAAGACACCCGAUAUAAAAAAA
rnacentral:lncRNA from 1 species